AGAGGGAUAGCCCAGAGAAAUUUGGAUUAAUACCUCAUAGUAUUAUAGAAUGGCAUCAUUUUAUAAUUAAAGUCACAACGGUAAAAGAUGAGCAUGCGUCCCAUUAGCUAGUUGGUAAGGUAACGGCUUACCAAGGCUACGAUGGGUAGGGGUCCUGAGAGGGAGAUCCCCCACACUGGUACUGAGACACGGACCAGACUCCUACGGGAGGCAGCAGUGAGGAAUAUUGGACAAUGGGCGCAAGCCUGAUCCAGCCAUGCCGCGUGCAGGAUGACGGUCCUAUGGAUUGUAAACUGCUUUUAUACGAGAAGAAACACUCCUUCCUGAAGGGGCUUGACGGUAUCCUAAGAAUAAGGAUCGGCUAACUCCGUGCCAGCAGCCGCGGUAAUACGGAGGAUCCAAGCGUUAUCCGGAAUCAUUGGGUUUAAAGGGUCCGUAGGCGGUUUAAUAAGUCAGUGGUGAAAGCCCAUCGCUCAACGGUGGAACGGCCAUUGAUACUGUUAGACUUGAAUUAUUAGGAAGUAACUAGAAUAUGUAGUGUAGCGGUGAAAUGCUUAGAGAUUACAUGGAAUACCAAUUGCGAAGGCAGGUUACUACUAAUUGAUUGACGCUGAUGGACGAAAGCGUGGGUAGCGAACAGGAUUAGAUACCCUGGUAGUCCACGCCCUAAACGAUGGAUACUAGCUGUUGGGAGCAAUCUCAGUGGCUAAGCGAA
rnacentral:rRNA from 1 species